GGACACAAACCCUCAUUUUUUUGCCUCAAACCCUCAGAAAAAUCCUGGAAUUCCAAUCCUUUUUUUUUUCCUCCCCUUCCAGGAGAACAGGAUGCCGUCAUCAGUAAGUGCUGAUGGAUUUGGGGAUCCCUGGGGGGAUUUGGGGGUCAAAAAACCCCCCCAAAUUAAUGAAAUUCCGCUUAAAAAAAUCUGAAUUAAAAGGCCUGAAAAUCUCAGGGGAUUUGGGAAGGGAUUUUUUGAUUAAAACUUGUUUUCUCUCCCUCUUUUAAAGGCAAACUGAGGGAGGAGCUGGAGGAAAAUGGCCUGGAGAGGGACGAAAUCCCUGAAGAGGAGGAGGAGGAAGAGGAGGAGGAAGAGGAGGAGGAAGAAGAGGAGGAAGAAGAGGAAAAAGAGGAGGAAGAAGAGGAGGAAG